AACGCACCUUGCGCCUCUUGGUAUUCCGAGGGGCAUGCCUGUUUGAGUGUCAUUGAAUCCUCAAAAGAAAAGCUUUAACUGGCUUUCUCUUUUGGAAUUGGAGCGUGCUGGCCUUCUGUUUGGGAAGCCCAGCUCCUCUGAAAUACAUUAGCGAUGUGACAUCCGCAUGGCACCAUGCUUAUCUGGCAUUGAUAGUAUCUUUCAUGCCUGAGCGUGUUGUGCAGCUGUGGAAAGUUUCGCUCGCUCAUAGCUUGAUGGGUCAGCCCAUCCUUUGACCAAUUUAACCUCAAAUCAGGUAGGAUUACCCGCUGAACUUAA
rnacentral:misc_RNA from 1 species